GGAUGAACGCUAGCGGGAGGCUUAACACAUGCAAGUCGAGGGGCAGCAUAGGGUAGCAAUACUCUGAUGGCGACCGGCAAACGGGUGAGUAACGCGUAUGCAACCUACCCUGUACAGGGGGAUAACCCGGAGAAAUUCGGACUAAUAUCCCGUAAUAAUAUCCGGAGGCAUCUUUGGAUAUUUAAAGUUCCGACGGUACGGGAUGGGCAUGCGUAACAUUAGCUGGUUGGUAAGGUAACGGCUUACCAAGGCUAUGAUGUUUAGGGGUCCUGAGAGGGUGGUCGGCCACAUUGGGACUGAGACACUGCCCAGACUCCUACGGGAGGCUGCAGUCGAGGAUCUUCCGCAAUGGGGGAAACCCUGACGGAGCGACGCCGCGUGGAGGAUGAAGGCCUUCGGGUCGUAAACUCCUGUCAGUCUGGAAGAAAAUCUGCAGCAAUGUGGAUUGACCGUACAGGCAGAGGAAGCUCCGGCUAACUCCGUGCCAGCAGCCGCGGUAAUACGGAGGGAGCGAGCGUUGUUCGGAAUCAUUGGGCGUAAAGGGCAUGUAGGCGGCUCUGUAAGUCGGGUGUGAAAUCCCAUCUCUCAAGGGUGGAACGGCAUUCGAAACUGCAGGGCUUGAGUUCGGGGGAAGAGAGCGGAAUUCUCGGUGUAGCGGUGAUAUGCGUAGAUAUCGAGAAGAACACCAGCGGCGUAAGCGGCUCUCUAUCCUGAAACUGACGCUGAGGUGCGAAAGCCAGGGGAGCGAACGGGAUUAGAUACCCCGGUAGUCCUGGCCAUAAACGAUGUGCACUUGGUGUUGGGCCGCGAGGCUCAGUGCCGAAGCUAACGCAUUAAGUGCACCGCCUGGGGAGUACGACCGCAAGGUUGAAACUCAAAGGAAUUGACGGGGGCCCGCACAAGCGGUGGAGCAUGUGGCUUAAUUCGACGCAACGCGAAGAACCUUACCGGGGUUUGACAUGCAGCUGCUCAUCCUGCGAAAGCAGGACUCCUUCGAGGGUGCUGCACAGGUGCUGCAUGGCUGUCGUCAGCUCGUGCCGUGAGGUGUUGGGUUAAGUCCCGCAACGAGCGCAACCCUUGUCCUUAGUUGCUAACACGAAAGGUGAGCACUCUAAGGAGACUGCCCCAGUCAAUGGGGAGGAAGGUGGGGAUGACGUCAAGUCAUCAUGGCCCUUAUAUCCCGGGCUGCACACGUGCUACAAUGGCCGGUACAAUGGGUAGCGACACCGCGAGGUGGAGCCAAUCUCAAAAACCGGUCUCAGUUCGGAUUGAAGUCUGCAACUCGACUUCAUGAAGCUGGAAUCGCUAGUAAUGGCGGAUCAGCUACGCCGCCGUGAAUACGUUCCCGGGCCU
rnacentral:rRNA from 1 species